rnacentral:rRNA from 1 species
CAAGUCGAACGAUUAAACUUUCCUUCGGGAAAGAUAUAAAGUGGCGCACGGGUGAGUAACACGUAAGUAAUCUACCUUUGAGUGGGGAAUAACAACCGGAAACGGUUGCUAAUACCGCAUAAUGCAUCGGCAUCGCAAGAUGACAGUUGUUAAAGAUUUAUCGCUUGAAGAGGAGCUUGCGGCAGAUUAGCUAGUUGGUAAGGUAAUGGCUUACCAAGGCUACGAUCUGUAACCGGUCUAAGAGGACGGUCGGUCACACUGACACUGAAUAACGGGUCAGACUCCCACGGGAGGCAGCAGUCGGGAAUUUUGGGCAAUGGGCGAAAGCCUGACCCAGCAACGCCGCGUGAAGGAUGAAGUAUUUCGGUAUGUAAACUUCGAAAGAAUGGGAAGAAUAAAUGACGGUACCAUUUAUAAGGUCCGGCUAACUACGUGCCAGCAGCCGCGGUAAUACGUAGGGACCAAGCGUUGUUCGGAUUUACUGGGCGUAAAGGGCGCGUAGGCGGCAAUUCAAGUCAUCUGUGAAAUCUCCGGGCUUAACUCGGAACGGUCAGAUGAUACUGUCUUGCUAGAGUGCAGAAGGGGCAAUCGGAAUUCUUGG